UACAGAGGUCCCAAGCGUUGUUCGGAUUCAUUGGGCGUAAAGGGUGCGUAGGUGGCGCCGUAAGUGGGGUGUGAAAUUUCGGAGCUUAACUCCGAAACUGCAUUCCAUACUGCGGUGCUUGAGGACUGGAGAGGAGACUGGAAUUUACGGUGUAGCAGUGAAAUGCGUAGAGAUCGUAAGGAAGACCAGUGGCGAAGGCGGGUCUCUGGACAGUUCCUAACACUGAGGCACGAAGGCCAGGGGAGCAAACGGG
rnacentral:rRNA from 1 species